AAGCACAUGCUCCGGACACCAGCUCUGCGAUUGUACAAACUGCUUAACCCCAUUCAACAUUCAUUUCCUAGUCUGGUAAAUGGGCACUUUUACCUAAAAGGGAUUGAAAUGGUGUAGAAGGUCUGGGGCCACUAGUAAAUGCUACUGGUAUUUGUUGGUGUUAAUAUUACUAUUAUCAAACCUGCUGAAGGAAGUGACAGCCCAGUGUUCUCUGAGACAAACAUGAAUGAGAACCAGUUGUGUCAAUAAUCACCUCCCACAAUCCAGCAUUAAGAGCAACUCGGGGGGCGCCUGGGUGGCGCAGUCGGUUAAGCGUCUGACUUCAGCCAGGUCACGAUCUCGCGGUCCGUGAGUUCGAGCCCCGCGUCAGGCUCUGGGCUGAUGGCUCAGAGCCUGGAGCCUGUUUCCGAUUCUGUGUCUCCCUCUCUCUCUGCCCCUCCCCCGUUCAUGCUCUGUCUCUCUCUGUCCCAAAAAUAAAUAAACGUUGAAAAAAAAAAAAAAAAAAAGAGCAACUCGGGCACCUGGGUGGCUCAGUCAGUUAAGGAUCUGACUUCGGCUCAAGUCAUGAUCUCAUGGUUCAUGGGUUCGAACCCUGCAUCGGGCCCUGUGCUGACAGCUCAGAGCCUGGAGCCUGCUUUGGAUUCUGUGUCUCCCUCACUCUCUGCCCCUCGCUCGCUCGCUCUCUUAUUCACUCUCUCUCAAAAAUAAACAUUAAAAUUUAAAAGCAACUCAGAAAAUAGAUGUCAAUGCAGCCAAUUAAGCCGACUGUGCUCUUUCCCCAUGGGAGCCCAGUGUGCAAUGGCUGCAAACAGUAGCCUCCUUGGUAGUGUAUGCAGCCUGUUGAUUGUACAGGUUGCCCUAAGGGACCUUGGAGACAGCCCUUUCCAGUGGACAUUGAGGUGUGGCCUCAUGCCACAGUCUAGGCUCCAGUCUAGGCUCCAGACAGGUAUGUGGGGUGUAUUUGGAAAGCCCCAGGGCACAGUGGCCAGGGUCCAUAUUGGCCAAGUGAUCAAGUCCAUUUGCAGCAAGCUGCAGAAUAAGGAGCACGUGAUUGAGGCCCUACGUAGGGCCAAGUUCAAGUUCCCUGGCCACCCGAAAAAUCCACAUUUCCAAGAAGUGGGACUUUAACGCGGAUAAAUUUGAAGACAUGGUGGCUGAAAAGCUGCUCACCCCAGAUGGCUGUGGGGUCAAAAAUAUCCCUUAUCAUGGUCCCUUGGACAAAUGGAGGGCUCUGUGCUCAUGAGAACCUCGGCACUGCCCCUUCUCUAUUCAUGCCCACCAAUAAGUCCUACUUCCCGUCUUAAAAAAAAGAAAAUAGAUGUUAAAUCCCUUCCCAUUAAAUGUGGUUUUUUUAUUGUGUUUAUUUCUACAGAAGCAUCUCCCGUCCCUGAUAAACACAGAAGACGAGAGAAAAGAGUAGCAGGGAAGAAGUACCCCAGGACGACAGUCCAGUCUCUGAAGAUUCACCCAGGUUGGGACAGAGGACCUGCCCGAAGCCAGGACCAGCCUCUCCUCUUAUCUCCCCGGUGGCACCCAGCCAUCCUUUAAGCUCACCAUUAUUUUUUGAUUCAGUGCUUUUGAAUGCUGUGGAAGCACAGGUACUCCCUUGAUUUGAAUCCCAUGCAGGCCACCUUGGCAGUCUGCACCUGCCAUCCUUCCCUGCCCGUGGUCCUCGGUGUCCCCACAUACAAGCCAUAAGCUCCUUGCACCACUCCCGUCCCCACGGCUGUCUCUGUCAGCCCUGGCCCACCUCCCACACCUGCUGCUGGGCUCUGUGGAGCUCAGGAUCUUCUUG
rnacentral:lncRNA from 1 species